rnacentral:rRNA from 1 species
AUUGAACGCUGGCGGUAUGCUUUACACAUGCAAGUCGAACGGUAACAGGCCGCAAGGUGCUGACGAGUGGCGAACGGGUGAGUAAUGCAUCGGAACGUGCCCAGUCGUGGGGGAUAACGCAGCGAAAGCUGCGCUAAUACCGCAUACGAUCGCGGGAUGAAAGCGGGGGACCGAAAGGCCUCGCGCGAUUGGACCGGCCGAUGUCAGAUUAGGUAGUUGGUGGGGUAAAGGCCCACAAAGCCAACGAUCUGUAGCUGGUCUGAGAGGACGACCAGCCACACUGGAACUGAGACACGGCCCAGACUCCUACGGGAGGCAGCAGUGGGGAAUUUUGGACAAUGGGCGCAAGCCUGAUCCAGCAAUGCCGCGUGCAGGAAGAAGGCCUUCGGGUUGUAAACUGCUUUUGUACGGAACGAAACGGUCCGGGCUAAUACCCUGGGCUAAUGACGGUACCGUAAGAAUAAGCACCGGCUAACUACGUGCCAGCCGCCGCAGUAA